GCCUGCUUAGCUCAGAGGCCAGAGCGUUGCACUUGUAAUGCAAUGGUCAUCGGUUCAACUCCGAUAGUAGGCU
rnacentral:tRNA from 1 species